UAGAUCUUACCGAUGUUCCAACCCCAAACUUAGAAAUUUUUUUCACAGAUCAAAAAUCCACAACACUUAUCUGAGCAAGGUAAGGGAGUGUUUGGGUUUAUGGUUAACUAAUGCGGUUAAUAAACAAACAAAAGGGUUAUAAGGCUCGAGAUGGGUGAACGAAGGAUAAUAUCGAAUGGUUGGCGGUAAAGGCUCGAGGCUAAACAAACAAACAAGUGCCUCAGUGUGUGUACGUGUGCAUUGAAAUUCGAAUAUCUAAUUACGCAAACUAAGAGUGACCG
rnacentral:lncRNA from 1 species